AAAUACAUUGUCUUAGAAAUGAAACUGACGUCAAGGCUGAACCUCAGACUCUAAUGACAGAGCCAACAGGUAUAACCAAGUGCUAUUUACUAACAUUGGCCUAUGAGGCUUAGCUGAAUUAUUAUUUUUUUUUAAAAUGUAAUUGAAGGAACAACCAGAGCUUACUCUAUAAUUUGAAAGAAUGACUGAUCAUCCUUAAUAUCAGAGUCAAAAAACUUGGAGAUAUUCCCUUUGAAGCAUUGUGGAGAUUAGCAAUGUUGAAUAAUUGUAACUACUGAUCUGAGGAAAAACACGGUCAAAUUCAUGUAAACGACUCAUACUAGCAAUGAGUUUACAACUUCUUUUCCUUCUCCAGAUGAGGAUAUAGUCGCUGGAAAUUCAACACAGCCCAUACCAAGUGUCGUAAACCAAAAUCAGGAAACUAUAUAUGCCUUUGGGGAAUACAGUUUGUAAGUCGGCCAAAGAAGGAACCUGCUGAUGUGAGACGCACCUGAAAUUCGUAUCAGAACAUCAGGAUCAUGUGCCAUUCUCAUAUAUGAUGCUUGAAUGGCCUGCGUGAUCUCAUCAGUAGAAGUGUAGGCCACAGAGAUAAGGAGAUUGCUCUUGGUGUUUUUGGCAGUGACUUACGUACAUCGCCUUCUCAGCUGCAACUCUAACCGGCUAGUCAAGGAGCUUCAGGUUCCCCACGAAAUGAAUUCUCACUCCAUAUUCGUUGUCUAAAAAGCAAAUUCUUAGCUCAUAUUUGCCCCCAUCAUUUUACGUAUCACCUUCCAUAUCCGGGUUCUGAAUCCAUGGUGGCUUGUAGAAUAAGCUGCAGCUUGGCUGCUGUGUGUUCAUAUGUAUCAAAAUGUAUGUAUUGUUCUCAAGAAAUGAAAAGUGAUGUUAGUGGAAACAGCCUCUUCACCCCAUAAAAGGCAGGGGGUGAAGUUUGUGUCCAUCCUACCUACCGUCUCCAGACCCUAUUCGUGAAAUUACACUUGGACAUGUUUGUUUCUUGGAAAACUCAAGAAAGCGCCUUUCUUUCUUCAUCCAGAACACAACCCCAGUACAGUUCACAAGCGUCAUAUUAACUAAUUCGAGAUAAGUUCUGUUUAGUGCAUUAUUAGUUUCCUUCUGUCUUUCAUGAAGAUUGAAGGGCUUUGUUUCUAUACUCUCUCUUUCACAUCGUAUCAUUCUCUCUCUCUCUCUCUCUCUUCCACUGUGAUAGCUGCUAACUCGUUUUUCUCCUGUUGUCGUUGUAUUAUCUUUCUGCAAAAACAUUCAUCCUGGCAAGAAAACCAAUACUAGAAACAUUUUUAAGUCAUCCAACUUGUGAACCAAUAUCAGAGUAAUUUUAAGAUUCUAGACAAUAAAUUAACAGGGUCUUCUGUGAACAUAUACCAAGCAGUGUACAAGGAAAAUAAAAACCAUAAAUGAAAUUCAACGACAAACCGACAGAAGAAUGAUAAAGCACUAUUACGUUGUGGUCACCCCAAUUCACCUUGCAGAUACUGAGACAGAUGUGGCAAUAAAAAAGGGUGGCGGCUAGAAGAGAGAGGGUCCACCCACUGGCACGCUGGUGAACACCAUGCUGAACCUUCACUUCUUUUAUUGCUCGUCCCCGUAAUUGGCCCUUCAAAGUAACUAACACCACACUAAACCACUAAGUAGGCCAAUUCCACAAAACACCAAACAAGUCAUAAAUUAAAUAACAUGAUUUUGACUCGACCUAUUGGCCAUCUUUUUCUGUAAAAAUGGAAGUGCGACAGAGACGUGUACUUUAAACUUUUGUUUUAUCCACUCACUUAUUCAGUCGGGGAUUGCCAAGAUGGAACUUAGGAAGUAUACGUAUGAAUUAUGAUGUAAAUUUUUCACCUAUAUCACUCAAGCUUCUUUUUUUUUUAUUAACAGAGGAAGGAUACGUAUGAAUUAUUACAUGCAGCUUCAAUUCUUUUUACUUGGAAUAAUUCCCAUAAAUUGUAAAACUUUUAAAUCUUUGAAGAUUAUUUUUAAUGUCAUAAUUUAAUCUACUUUAUAAUCUCUGUUGAAACUUAAAAUUAACGAACUGACAUAUUUUGGAUACUGAGGGAAGCACGCCAGAUACAUAUUGUACAAGAAGUAAUUAGAUCCAUCCCUUGAAAAUAAAAAAGGUUCACAGUCACAUUUUCAAAUCAAAAAAUUAAUAAUUGCAAAAGUAGAUAACACCUAUAGCAGUCCAAGUCUCAUGCCAAACCUCUACAUUCAAUCCUGUUAAUUGUAAGCCAAAGAAA